GGCCCAGAUCGUUUACCGUGAAAAAAUUAGAGUGUUCAAAGCAGGCAGAUCCAAUUUUCUGCCACCGAAUACAUUAGCAUGGGAUAAUGGAAUAGGACCCUGUCCUCCUAUUUUCAGUUGGUUUUGGCAGCGCGAGGACUAGGGUAAUGAUUAAUAGGGAUAGUUGGGGGCAUUAAUAUUUAAUUGUCAGAGGUGAAAUUCUUGGAUUUAUGAAAGAUUAACUUCUGCGAAAGCAUCUGCCAAGGAUGUUUUCAUUAAUCAAGAACGAAAGUUAGGGGAUCGAAGACGAUCAGAUACCGUCGUAGUCUUAACCAUAAACGAUGCCGACCAGCGAUUAGGAGACGUUGAAUACAAAACACCACCAUCGGCGCGGUCGUCCUUGGCGUCUCGGUCCUUCACGGGGCCGGGGCGCGGGGGCGGCUUAGCCCGGUGGCACCGGUGAAUGACUCCCCUAGCAGCUUGUGAGA
rnacentral:rRNA from 4 species